GACGAACGCUGGCGGCGUGCCUAAUACAUGCAAGUAGGACGCAGUUGCGAACGGGUGAGUAACGCGUAGGUAACUACCUAUUAGAGGGGGAUAACUAUUGGAAACGAUCGCUAAUACCGCAUACUAGUAGAUGGACCUUCGUUGUAUGAGCUAGUAGGUAGGGUAAUGGCCUACCUAGGCAAGGAUACAUAGCCGACCUGAAUGGGUGAUCGGCCACACUGGGACUGAGGCAAGGGCCAGACUCCUUAGGGAGGCAGCAGUCGGGAAUAUUCGGCAAUGGGGGGAACCCUGAACGAGCACCGCCGCGGGAGUGAAGAAGGUUUUCUGAUCGGAAAGCUCUGUUGUUAAGGAAGCGGUACUUAACCAGAAAGGGACGGCUAACUCCGUGCCAGCCGCCGCGGUAAUAC
rnacentral:rRNA from 1 species